GGGAGAAGGAGGAUCAUGAAGAAGAAGGAUCCUGAGGAGAAUCCCGUCUGUGAGAGGAGAAGAAGGGUUCGGAACUUUGAGGGGGUGUGUGGUGGACAAUAUAAACCCAGAAUUUUGGUUGUGCUUCUGCCUGGUGCUGGAGAAGUCCAUCUUGCUUGAGCUGAGUGUGCAUAAUUUGUGCAUAAUUCCACCCAUCCCGAGUUCUGCUGCUGCAAUAAAAUAUCCUGAGCUUCCCACCUCCCCAUGUUUCCUUGAGUUCCUGGAAGCUGGGUGUCAAAUUCCCCCGAAACACUUCUGGCAUUUUAACCUCCUCUGUAUUUAUUAGUUUUAACCACAUAGCACAUGCAAGCAUUGCUGGAUUUCAGGUCAGUUAUUGUUUGUGACUUGAUCUCAAUUAUUGCUCUAAUAUAUAUAUAUCUCAAGAGGCCUCUGUUCUAUUCAUGUUUUCCUACAAAGCUGGAAGAUGCAGCACAAUUGUUCCGAUGCAAUGGAUUUUUGAGUGCAUGGCGGAUGUUCUAAAUCAGAAUAUUUUCUCUUUGAGAAAAUGCCAACAGAAAAAGAUGGUUUAUUUAAGAAGCAAGAUUAAAUCCUUCACUUGGCAGAAGGACUAUUUGAGCUUGAUAUCAAACUUUGCAGAUCCAUCACGCCCUGCUUGUUCCUCAAUAGCCUGGAAGGAGUCACUGAGUUGCAGCUCGAUUUCAAUAUUAAAAAAAAAAUCCCGUUUGCAUUUUGGCAGCCUAGGCUGUGUUUACACCAACCCUCCCAGUUCCGAAUUUCAUACUGCUUCACCUUGUAGGUGCUUCAAACUUAAACCUGCCCUGGCCAGCUGCUGAAUAUGCAGGAAGGUGAAUCCCAGUGUCUGUUUGUGUGUUUGCCGCUGUCUCUCAUGCAAAUGGAGCUGUCCUGGUGGCCAUUCACACCUGCUCAGGGCCCAUAUGCACAUACAGCUUCUCAUGCGGAUUAUAAAUUCUACCCCAUGGCCUGGAGACUGAAAAAUCCCGCUCAAAAUCACCCCGGUGUUUUUUGCUAAAAUGGUUUUGCCUCGUUCUGCGUCAGCAAUCCGCGUUUUGUUUUGGGGUUCUUUUUUUUAGGUGAUUUUCCUGGGGUUCUAGAAAGCACAUCACUAUUGGUGACAUCCCUAAGCGCAUUCCUGUGACCCGGAAUUCGCACCAAACAAAUAAUAUGCCAGGCACAACCUUUAUUUAUUAAUGGUUUUAAUGUUCAUGGUUUGGGCUCCUGUUCCUCAUAGGGAAUAUGCAGGUGGAGACAUCCCCGAGUUUAACUAGUUUGCAUCAGUCAUUUGAAGCCACUUGUAAAAUCAUCCCAGCAAUGUUACCCUCAGUGAAUUGAAUUAUCAUUUUUCCACCCAUUUUCUAAAGAUGGAGUGAAAGGACUGUUUGUCUGUUUCCUGAAAAAACAAACCCAAAAUCAGUAGGAUGUGUUUUAGUAUGAUGCAGGUGCAUCAAUAAUCAAUAAUAACCGAAGUCAGCGGUAUAACAACAUCGUAAAAUUGGCAUCAAUGGUGGUUUAGUGUGAAUUCUAUAUGCUUUAUCAUCUAUAAUUUCAUCACGUUGUCAUUAACCACUCUUAAAGUGGGAAGACAGCAGGGAUUAAUUCAAAGCAGAGUCUUCUCAAACAUGUCCUGUUCCUAUGCCUCAAACUUCAGCAAUGAGAGCACAAACUGCCUUGUGUGCAGAGCAAAUUUCUGGGGAAGACUCAUAAUUGUGUGAUAUUACCUGACUGCUAAAUAAAUAGACCAAGUUGGGCUCUGUGAUGUCUAAUUCCUGCCUGCAACUCCGCUGCUGUUUAAGUGGAAAUACUGAUCCAGUCUCACACAACGACCGCAAAAACAAAACAGGGAGAUUUUUUUUUUUUCCAGUUUCAUCUCGUUCUCGCUUUAAAUUGCCCGGUGAUUGUGUCUGCCCCCGGGUGCGUGUACACACAUGUGUUUGUCCUAUCUGCAACAUUUAUAUCAAUCUGUAAAACACCAGAAUUUGGGGAGCACCGCGUGAGAAGCUAAACAGUAUUGAUCCCUCUAAG